AUUGAACGCUGGCGGCAGGCCUAACACAUGCAAGUCGAACGAGUGGCGUACGUGUGAGUAAUGCUUGGGAAUCUAGCUUAUGGAUGGGGAUCACUACGGGAAACUGUAGCUAAUACCGCGUUCCAUAGGCUGAGCCCAAGUGGGAUUAGGUUGUUGGUGAGGUAAAGGCUCACCAAGCCGACGAUCUCUUGCUGGUCUGAGAGGAUGACCAGUCACACUGGGACUGAGACACGGCCCAGACUCCUACGGGAGGCAGCAGUGGGGAAUAUUGCGCAAUGGGGGCAACCUGACGCAGCCAUGCCGCGUGAGUGAAGAAGGCCUUCGGGUUGUAAAGUUCUUUAGGUAGCGAGGCGUUAACUACAGAAGAAGCACCGGCUAACUCCGUGCCAGCAGCCGCGGUAAUAC
rnacentral:rRNA from 1 species